GUAUUGCUCACUUCGGCAACACAUAUACUAAAAUUGGAAUGAUACAGAGGAGAUUAGCAUGGCCCCCACGCUUGAAUGACACACAAAUUUGUGAAAGGUUGCAUAUUUUU
rfam:Cavia porcellus supercont2_18 genomic scaffold, whole genome shotgun sequence.